UUGUCUGUUGGUGUCUCUGAAGGUUGAGAUGGGGUUUCUGAGUGCAUUCAGUCGUGCUACAUCUAUCUUAGGUAGUUUCACUCGGUAGCAGAGAGGUGCUCGUCAAUCGAUGAAUGAGGUUGACUGUCGAUAGCUGGUUGAAUCUCUAUGUCGAUCGUCGGUAUACUCAUUAUGCCGAUCGAUGUUGGCAAUAAAGGGUUUGGGUGGAU
rnacentral:lncRNA from 1 species